rnacentral:rRNA from 1 species
AUUGAACGCUGGCGGCAUGCCUUACACAUGCAAGUCGAACGGCAGCACGGGUGCUUGCACCUGGUGGCGAGUGGCGAACGGGUGAGUAAUACAUCGGAACAUGUCCUGUAGUGGGGGAUAGCCCGGCGAAAGCCGGAUUAAUACCGCAUACGAUCUACGGAUGAAAGCGGGGGACCUUCGGGCCUCGCGCUAUAGGGUUGGCCGAUAGCAGAUUAGCUAGUUGGUGGGGUAAAGGCCUACCAAGGCGACGAUCAGUAGCUGGUCUGAGAGGACGACCAGCCACACUGGGACUGAGACACGGCCCAGACUCCUACGGGAGGCAGCAGUGGGGAAUUUUGGACAAUGGGCGAAAGCCUGAUCCAGCAAUGCCGCGUGUGUGAAGAAGGCCUUCGGGUUGUAAAGCACUUUUGUCCGGAAAGAAAUCCUUGGCUCUAAUACAGUCGGGGGAUGACGGUACCGGAAGAAUAAGCACCGGCUAACUACGUG